GUGGGGAAUAUUGGACAAUGGGCGGAAGCCUGAUCCAGCAACGCCGCGUGAGGGAUGACGGCCUUCGGGUUGUAAACCUCUUUCGGUGGGGACGAAGCGCAAGUGACGGUACCCACUAUAGAAGCACCGGCCAACUACGUGCCAGCAGCCGCGGUAAUACGUAGGGUGCGAGCGUUGUCCGGAAUUAUUGGGCGUAAAGGGCUCGUAGGCGGUUUGUCGCGUCGGGAGUGAAAACGCCGUGCUUAACACGGCGCUUGCUUCCGAUACGGGCAGACUAGAGGUAUGCAGGGGAGAACGGAAUUCCUGGUGUAGCGGUGAAAUGCGCAGAUAUCAGGAGGAACACCGGUGGCGAAGGCGGUCCUCUGGGCAUUACCUGACGCUGAGGAGCGAAAGUGUGGGGAGCGAAC
rnacentral:rRNA from 1 species